AUUGAACGCUGGCGGCAUGCCUAACACAUGCAAGUCGAACGGUAACAGGUCCCGUAGCAAUACGGGAUGCUGACGAGUGGCGGACGGGUGAGUAAUGCGUAGGAAUUUACCUCAAAGCGGGGGAUAGCCCGGAGAAAUCCGGAUUAAUACCGCAUGUGCUCUACGGAGGAAAGCGGGCCUCUACUUGUAAGCUCGCACUUUGAGAUAAGCCUACGUCGGAUUAGCUAGUUGGUAGGGUAAAGGCCUACCAAGGCGACGAUCCGUAGCUGGUUUGAGAGGAUGAUCAGCCACACUGGGACUGAGACACGGCCCAGACUCCUACGGGAGGCUG
rnacentral:rRNA from 1 species